GAUAAUGUGAAGAGAGCAGGGUAAUCGUUGAUCGUAACAAAACCAAUUGCUCUUAGGGUGAAUGAAUCUUUGCGGUGCUUGUCCAAUAUUUGAACACCUGAUUCCCACAAUAUUUUAUGUCCUCCAUUAAGGGCUCCAAAAAAAUCCAUCUCAAGUCCAGGUUGUGUAGGUCCAAAAAUAAGGAUGGUUAGCAAAAGAUACUUUCGCUUAUGCAUCAACCAUGGAGGAAGGUUAUAGAUGGCGAGGAUCACCAGCCAUGUGCUGUGCUUCUACUCCUCUCGGCAAAUGGAUUCAUUCCGUUAGGACUUAGUGUGAACCUAACAUUUUUUGGUUGGUCAGCAAAGUCUUGGUGGUUCUCUUUGAAAUCUUGCCACUGCUUGCCAUUGGCUGGAUGCCUAAGCUUCCCAUUAUUUUUUGUGCUCAUCAGAAGCAUGCCAGCUCAUAAGUUUGGCAUUCUAUGGGUUAGCGAACAAACACCUCAAUCGAUCGACCAUGGGAAGGUACCACAUCACCAAAGCAGGAAUCUUUGCAUAAUAGUCUACCUUUUCUUUUUCUUUGCUGGCUAAACUCUGCUGGUUGUUCUGUUAGGUCUUCUUUUGUUUUUUUCCUUUAGACACGGAGGCAACACAUUCUUCCUCUCUAUAGUCUUUAUUUGUCAUGUACCUACUUGCACCACACUUUGGAUAAUUCUCCAAGUACUUAUAAUCAUCACUGCGACAUAGGCGGUUCACUUAAUGGAACCGCCAAUGUAAAUACACCAUUUACACUGUCGGUUCCGUUAAGUGAACUGUCUGUGUAAAUGGAUUUAAACAUGAGGUUUUUGAGUUGGGCC
rnacentral:lncRNA from 1 species